rnacentral:lncRNA from 1 species
AGUCACCUAGGAGGAUUUCAUUUCCCUUUGCUAUGAGCUACCAAUGUGACCUCAACCAGAUUACAGAAUCCCUGACAUUUUAACCAUAUGCUCUCACAAGCUGUGUGCAUGGCUCUGCCGCAUCCUUGCUUCUCCUUCAUGGCUCUGCUCAGAGACCUUCAUCAAGAAUCAUCUCCACUCUACUUGCCCUGGUGAACUUUGGAAUCAUGUCAUCAAGUUCCCCUCAAAACCGGUGUGCUAAAUUGAGAACUUGGAAUGAGGUCGUUCAUGGAACCUCAGGGGGUGCAGAUGCCAGACUCAGCAGCAAUAGCAGGGGGUGCACAUUGCCAUGCCCUGCAAGCCCUAGUCCAUUCAGUAAGUGGCUCCAGCCCACUCUGCAUGGCCCUGGCCCCUGCUGUGGGAGGCAGGUGAUCCCAUCCAGCCAGAUCAUCUCUGUAAGUGAGAUUCUUUGUUCCAUUUUUUCUGUUGUUUUCUUUUUUUAUUAAAGAGUAUGGUGACUUUUUUUAAAAAUACAUUGAUUUAUAUUAUAUAUAUUGUACACUAUUGAGGUAUAAUUGGCCCACAAAAAUCUGCCCAUACCGAAUGUGCACAAGCUGGUGAGUUUAGACCACCACUACUACUUUAAUCAAGGUAGUAACCUUGUCCAUCACUUCUGACAGUUUCCUCCUGCACUACUGCCCCCUUUUAUUUGUUUUAUUAUGGUAAGAACAAGAGAGAGAAAUGGGGCAUUGUUGUUUAACAGGCAUAAUGGUUUCAGUUUUGCAAGAGGAAUAAGUCCUAGAGAGCUUCUGUAUGUCAUAGUGCCUGGAGUUAACACACAUGUAGCUACUUGAGGGGGACUUGGCUUUAUCUGAGAAGAUGCUAAGGGCCUCAGCAUAUGCUGCCAUUAGAUGGUCCAGGGAAAACAUUUGAACAGCACUUCCUGAGGAAAAAUUGAGCAGUGAGGUGAUUGAGUUGCUGGGAAUUUGGCCAGCUCUUGCCCUUGCAGGGAUGAGCCUGUACCUGAAUGAGACUAGGAAAGGAGGACUAGUUUAUAAGAGUAUUAAAGGGGAAGAUAAUCUGGGAUCCUUGUCCAAAUGCUGGUGCCUUGGAUGGUAAUGGUCCUGUACUGCUAUGAUAUUUAGAUUCUGGCCUUCCAGAGAUACUCAGACUGUAGGCAGAAAGGUGUGGCUUGAGGCCAGAUCACUUCUUUGUUUUGCCACUAAGAUGACAUCUGUGCAUCAUAGCAAUACACUGCAGUGGUGGGCCUUGUGUUUACUGCUUGAUGUGUUAAGAACAAGACUCAUGGGCCCAACAAGACUGAUUGUAUUGGCUCAUUCAUUUUCUUAAGUAAUAUUUGAGGUCAACUGUGGGUCAGACACUAUUCUAGGCUCUGGAGAUAUGUUGAGGGCAACAACCAAUCCAUGCCCUCAGAAAGACAAUGUUCUCUCUGUACAGAUGACAAUGAAUAGGUUGGCAAUGGCACAUAUCAUUUCAUGUGCCUGAGACGACAAAGAAAAAUAAAGCAGGAGAGAGUGGAGAGUGACA